CUAAACUCCAACUUUCUGGUGCGUCCUUAACAAGCAGUGGUACUUCAAUGAAAAUGCCUAUAUAAAAAAAAUACGAUUUUUCAUUACUUGUAAUACAUUUACGAUUAUAAUACUUAAUUUCAUAAAGCUUACCGUUUACACCAAUCCAUGUGCCUAUGCCAAAAAAUAUCGCCAAUAUAUCCACUACGAAGUUACGACUUUUUAUUAUGUCCGUCAUCUUUUCUAUGAAUUUCUUUUUAGGUGGGUUUCUAUAAAUUAACAAACAGACUUCAAUUAAAUUUGAUUCAUCACGCUUACGGAAAAGUGUAGUAUCUGCACGUGAUGUUUAUAAUCUGAACGUUCUUUACCAAGAACCGAAGGUUGGAGCACUCGCACAAUAAUCGCCAUUAAUAAAUUAAUGUGAAAAUAUGUAUAUAAUACUUAUACAGUGAAACCUCUACUUGCAGACACCUCUCGUAAAGGGACACAAAUUCGGGAACCAAGGUUUAGGUUGUGCUUGUAGAACAAAUUCCACCAUUAUUACCGGACACUCUAAUGACUGGAAGAUUAAUGAUUAUGAUAAUGAUAAUGAUAAUGAUGAAAAGAGACAGGCAUAGGUAUGAAACAUGGGAGGACAUGUAGUGGCAUUUGUGCAUCAACGAUGGCAUUCCUGCAUCAACACUAUCCUCUUUGAAGAAGAUUUUGAAGGAAAAUCAGGACUUGUUGAUUUUGUAAUAAACAAGGAAUAAAUAGAAAGGGCCAUAAAA